CUCUUGUUUGUUGCUUAAUACCAUAUUCCUAGCAACUCCUAAUUUGCAACUCGAUCUAGUUAUCAAUACUAGCAAAACAUCUCUAUAUAAUGAAUGAUGGAUGUAAAUGUGACUUUAAGGAGCAUUAGGAUAAGAGGGACUCUCUAAUUUGGCCUCAAAGAUGAUUGCUCCUCAUAUUUUAAGGUCAUGCUAAUUGUAUGACACGUUCCAUCUCC
rnacentral:lncRNA from 1 species